UGGGGGUUCGUCUAGCGGUAGGACAGCGGACUCUGGAUCCGUACGCCGAGGUUCGAAUCCCUCGACUCUCAG
rnacentral:tRNA from 1 species